rfam:Anolis carolinensis chromosome 1, whole genome shotgun sequence.
UUAAUGGCCUUUUUCAAGGCUAUAUCAUUUUAAAAACAAAUUGACU